rnacentral:rRNA from 1 species
UACGUAGGGGGCAAGCGUUGUCCGGAAUCAUUGGGCGUAAAGAGCGUGUAGGCGGCCCGGUAAGUCUGUUGUGAAAGUCCAGGGCUCAACCCUGGAAUGCCGAUGGAUACUGCCGGGCUAGAGUUCGGAAGAGGCGAGUGGAAUUCCUGGUGUAGCGGUGGAAUGCGCAGAUAUCAGGAAGAACACCAAUGGCGAAAGCAGCUUUCUGGGACGGUACUGACGCUGAGACGCGAAAGCGUGGGGAGCGAACAGG